ACGGAAUCCCGAUCCCGAUUCAGAUAAACGUGUGCUAGCCUAGUUCCCUGAGCUACCCAUUACGUACAGGAACCAGGUUAGCUCAUGCGCAGGCUGAAUUUUCCCCACAGCAUCCGG
rnacentral:precursor_RNA from 10 species